AGUAUGCAUGUUUCUUCCUAGGUACCUAUGAGUCUCUACUAGUAUACAGGUGUCGUUAGAAAUGCUUUGCUAAGUAGGGUCGCGGUAGAAGUCGAGUGAUUUCCUGUCACUCGCGAGAUAUAGGUUUUGUUACUUGGAAAAAGUUGUUGGAGAAUGAAUCAAUGAGGAAAGAAAAUGGAGACCAGGCGGAUAUGAAUUUGGUUAUGGAUAUGGAAUGAAUGGAAAGUGAGCCUCCGCCUGUGUCUAUUGAGGAUCGUACCGUUGUUGGCAUUGUUGAUCGAGGAUUGAAUAGUACUAACCACAUGCCGGAAGUAGGAGGUAGUCGAAACCAGUAAGUUGUAGACCUGAUUUACGACGAUAGUUUGAAUUGCAACCUGCUACUCUGGGCGUGGGAUGACGGCGGGUGUUGGAUUGUAUGUCGCCUUCGGGUUCUCUGGGAGUUCGUCGUGAGUGGCCCUUCACCCGGGUUUUGGCAGGCGUGGUUCAGAUGUCGUGGUAAUGAUGAGAACAGUUGACAUGUGUGGUCCAGUGUGGCUUACAUGUGUCGUGUGAGUUAGGUUCACCUUGUAAGGUUAAAUCGGAUCGAUUCGCCGUGACUUGCAGAUAUGAGAACUUUGGUCACUGUGUCACAUCAUAGUAAAGAAUUGGAAUGAGAUGAGAUAUGAUUAUGGUAUUAUGGGAUGAUUAAUGUUAUAUACCAUGCUUGCUCUAGAUUUUGGUGCAAAUCUAGUUGGUAUUUGUACAAUAAACUUGAGCUAAAAUACUGAAAGUAAGGAUCCACUAUUAGUAGUUUUUCAGCAAAAUAACUCCAGAGCCAAACAGCCUUGCAUGUCUAGGAGUCGGCUAAGUAUAUACAACUAGUUGGGUAAGUCUUGCUGAGUAUUAGUAUACUCAGGGUUUGUUGUUAUCUUGUUUUCAGGUAGCUGCUGGUGGUUGAAGCUAACCAGGAUCCACAUCGGUGGGCUCGAUGUGACAUCCUCACGACUACGUAGAUAAUGUUGUUUUCAAAUUAAGUUUUUAUUUAAAUUCUGCUGCUUAUUGAACUGUGAUAUUUUUCUUAAACUUAAUUGGUAAAGCUCUGCUUUGUAAUUUAAAUCUGAAAACCCUGGUCUGUUUGUAAUCAUCUGUGCUCGCAUUAAGUGUUUUCGAUCCUUAACGCAACAGGCUGCCGGAUUACACCAUUUUAAGUGUGCAGUAACUAAAUUAAUGUUUAAGAUGAUAGUUAGCGCACUUAAGAUGGUUUAAUUCGGACGGUUCUGUUACAGAGUGGAGGCCUGUAGGGAUGAAGCUGGCAGUAUAGAUGUUCAUGCAGCCCGAAGCCCACAGGCCCGACCCAAGCGCGACGAUUUUGGCCCGGCCCAAGCACGGCCCGGCCCGGUCCGGUCCAAACCGUGCCCGGGCUAGCCCGGCCCGCUACCAUUGCCCGGGCUUGGGCCGCACCCCCCGCCCGUGGACCGGCACGGCCCGGCACGGAAGUAGCAGGCCGGCCCGUAGGCGGCCUGUUAACUUCAACAAGCUGACGGCCUGGCCGGCCCGGCCCAGCCCACCCCGCGCGGCCCCCCGUCCGCGACCUCCAGUUCCCAAAUCCUAAAUUCCCCAAUCCCCACUCGCCUCGCCCCAAUCCGACCUGCCCGACCGAAACCCUAGCCCCUCUCGCCUCGGCGGCUCGGCGAUUCUCCUGCGCCUCCGCCGCCGGCCGCCGGCCUCUCCCUUUUCCUCCGGUUUCCGGCGAGUAGAUCUCUGGCUCCUACUCGACUUGGCUCUCCGGUCUCUGUCUCUUCCUCGCCUCCGGGCUCCGGCUCUCUACCUCCGAGCACGCCACGCCACCGUAUAUCCCACCCCGGGUCCCCAGCAUCCCCCCUGAUCUGCUCCCUACUCGUCGUCCUCUCUUCUCUCUGCGGCUCCGGGCUCCGGUUGCACAGGUAAUCCGUAACCCCUAACCCUAACCCUUGCCGUCCGUCCUCUCUUGACUUCUUGUUCUUGAUUCUCGGCUGACUCUAUUCUUGACCCUCUUCUUGCGCAGGUCUCGUGGAUUCGGGGCCGCUGGGCAUUGAGGCACGGAGCUGCCGAGGGCGAAGUCGUGAUGGACGACAUUGAGGAGUACACCGUCAACGACAGCCUCAGGGCGUGUGGCCUGCCCGGUGAUGAUGACGACGACACCACUGCCGGCGAUGAGGCAUUGUUCGGUAGCGUUGUUGCUCCGAUCAAUGUCGAUGACGGUGCCAAUGCUGUUGGUAGAGGAGAUGGUGUCGGCUGAUCGGCGACUCUGACGCUGACCUCGACGCCUUCUGCCUCUUCUACCGAGCAGGCCGUGUUCAAGCGUGCCAGAUCUGGUGCUUGGAGGGACUUCAGUUCAAUGGCGAUGGUUUUGUCAGUGGCUGGGAGUACAAACCUGAUGUUGCUCGGAGAGAGCUAUGCCGUUUGAUUUCCAGACUUGAUUUGACUCUAGGUUUUGGUGCUGAAGAAGCUUUUGAGGAGUACAUCACGCGUGCUCAUAAUUCUCGUUUUUUCUAGAGUCUUUAGGCAAACCACUACUAGAGAUUUGGACAAAUACUUUCUUGAGCGUCGUACUUCUUUAAUUGAAUCCUUGCGUUCUGUUUCGUCUGUUUGCAUCACUUCUGACAUUUGGUCUGGCAACGCUAAGGAAGACUAUCUUAGUGUUGUCUGUCAUUUUGUUUCUGUUGAUUGGGAGCUAGAGAAGAGAGUCAUUGGGCUUAGGCUCAUUGAUUGCUCACAUACUGGCGUUAACAUUGCUAAACGUGUUGAAGCUGUUGUUCAUGAGUUUGGUUUGACUGAUAAGAUCUUUGCUGUGACCCUUGAUAAUGUUUCUUCUAAUGCCAGAGCUAUUUCUAGGCUCAUUCCUAAGUUUGUUGGUUAUCUUGGUCCAGAUCCUGUAACACUUGGAAAUGUUGACAGAGACGGUGACAAUGCUUUGCGUGGUCUCUUGCACCAGCGAUGCGCAUGUCACAUUAUAAACCUCAUUGUUAAAUCUGGUUUGAAAAGAAUCAAGUCUUAUCUUGAAGCUUUUAGGACUGCAAUUUUUUAUUUGAACUCUUCUAACCAUCGCAUUGCUGAAUUUCAUAACUAUUGCAUUGUUAAGGGGGUGAAUCCUCGUAAGUUUGGUUUGGAUAUGGAUGUGAGAUGGAAUUCUACAUAUCUUAUGCUCAAGCAUUUCAUACCAUACAAGAGCACUUUCUGUACCUUUAUUGCUGCUAAUUGUGGUUUGGUUAAUGGUGAGCCUCUUCUCGGUGUAGGUCAUUGGACCAUUGCUGAGAAAAUUAUGGAGUUUUUUGGAAUUUUUUAUGACUCAAUUGUUGCUUUUUCAGGAGUUUACUAUCCAACAAGUCCUCUAAUGUUGCAUCAUAUACUUGAGAUUGCUGGUCAUUUGCAUUCCAGAGAGAUUGAUCCUUUGUUUUCGGACAUUCUGAUUCCUAUGAAAUUGAAGUUUCUCAAAUAUUGGCAGAACAUCCCUCUUUUGUAUUCCUUUGCCUUUGUUUUGGAUCCUAGAGCCAAGAUUCGAGGUUUUCAUAAUGUUCUUCAGAUUCUUUCUCAGAUUAUUGGUGUUGAUUAUUCUAAUUACUUCUCUGAGGUAAGAACUGAACUAUAUAAACUUUAUAACAAGUAUGGUGCAGUUAGGUUGCAGAGCCCCUCCAACAUAUUAGGAUCUACUGGUAAGAAAAAAAACGGCAUGGGGUAAGAUCUAUGAAGCUACUGGUACAUCUCCUCAUUCUCCUGCUCUUGCAUCUACUUCUUCUCCUACUCCUGCACCUGUAUCUGCUAUUUCUGAGUUGGCUUCCUACUUGGACAGCGACACUAUCACAUGCUUUGAUGAUGAUUUUGACAUCUUAAGUUGGUGGCAUGAGCACAAAUUAACAUAUCCCAUCAUGUCCAUCCUAGCUAAAGAUGUUAUGUCUGUCCCAAUUUCUACUAUCUCUUCGGAGUCGUGCUUUAGUCUCACUGGCAGGGUGAUCGAGGAGCGACGACGACGUUUGGCGCCUCAUAAUGUGGAGUACUUGACCUGCGUAAAGGAUUGGGAGGCUGCUGAUGCAAGGGCGCAGCAUGACGUCGAGAGGGAGACACGAGAGUUCGAGGCUAAGUUCGGCAUCAAGGACAAUGACAAUGAUGAAGGGCAGGCUACUCCAAAUGAGUCUGUCCCUGCCAAUGGCAAGUAAAGAGAAGUGAAGGCAGCCAGCAAGGCUGGCUCUUGGUCUGCAGGACUGCAGGCCAACAACAAUGUGCAUUUAUCUUCUUAGCCUUAGUUCCUUAGACCUUAGUCUUAGUGGUCUGUUUGUAAUGUUAAAGUCUGUCUGUUGAAUUUGAACACAUUGAUGUAAUGUUGAACAAUUAACUAGAAUUAUAGAGUUGGACUGUACUCUUUUUCCCUUCCUAGGGUUUCUCACAAGGGUGAGUUUUACCUAGGAAGGUUUUUAAUGAGGCAGCCAACACUUGAUCACAUAGAUCAAGUGUUAAAACAGCUCUAUAAUUCUUUCAUCACUUAUCAGUUAAGUGAUCUUUUGUUAUGUGUGUGAUGUC